rnacentral:rRNA from 1 species
UACGGAGGGUGCAAGCGUUAUCCGGAUUCACUGGGUUUAAAGGGUGCGUAGGCGGAUAGGUAAGUCCGUGGUGAAAUCCUGCAGCUUAACUGCAGAACUGCCAUGGAUACUAUCUGUCUUGAAUGUCGUGGAGGUUAGCGGAAUAUGUCAUGUAGCGGUGAAAUGCUUAGAGAUGACAUAGAACACCCAUUGCGAAGGCAGCUAACUACGCGAUAAUUGACGCUGAUGCACGAAAGCGUGGGGAUCAAACAGG